rnacentral:lncRNA from 1 species
UUUUUUUCGUCUUAGUCGCAUGCACAAGUUAAUUUUCUUACCAGUUUCAUACAUAUCGUCAAUCUUUAUGUUGACAAGUGACAUGACAACAAAUGUGCCACGUAGAUUCACUCAUUUAUGUCAUGUGGCAAAAAAUGCUCCCCUUAUAUGAUACCACAUGGUCCACAUAUAUUAUUAAAUAAAUAAAAAAAAUAAAAAAAAUCCUCAUAAAAAAUCCUCUCUCUCUCUCUCUCUCUCUCUCUCUCUCUCUCUCUCUCUCUCUCUCUGAAUCCCAUCCAACUCUCGUUCUCUCCUUGCUCUCUCAUCGAACACAGAACCCUAGCCAACCUUCUCAAGAAACCUUAAAAACUUCUCUUUUCCUUUUCCCAUGACCACAUUUGUUGCCAUGUUAGCAGUUAAUAGACUCGAUCACAGAAAGACUGACGACAUGUAUGAAAGUGGUAAGAAAAUCAACUUUGUGUAUGUGACUGAGAUGAAAAAAAAUUUGAUGUUUCGAAGUCUAAAAGUUGGUAAACUUAACCAUGGUAAAGUGAAAAUUACCCAUAAUUAUGUAAACCUCCCCUCCUCAAAUCACAUGAACUACCAAAAAAAAAAAAAAAGAGGCUUAAAUGUCAAAAUAGUCCUUGUGGUUUAACCAUUUGGCCAAUUUAAUCUAUGUGUUUUUAAUUUGGCCGAUUUAGUCCUUGUGUUAACUAAUGUUGUCCAUUCCGUUAAAUUAUUAUUAAAAAAGUUCAUUAAAGUUUUAAAAAUUAAUAAAAAACUGUAAUUGUUUUAAAUAAAUAAAAAAAAUUACAAGUUCACUUUAAUGAUUAACAAAA